rnacentral:rRNA from 1 species
GACGUAGGGCGCAAGCGUUGUCCGGAUUUAUUGGGCGUAAAGAGCUCGUAGGCGGCUUGUUGCGUCGACCGUGAAAACCCGUGGCUCAACUGCGGGCUUGCGGUCGAUACGGGCGGGCUAGAGUUCGGUAGGGGAGACUGGAAUUCCUGGUGUAGCGGUGAAAUGCGCAGAUAUCAGGAAGAACACCCGUGGCGAAGGCGGCUCUCUGGGACGGUACUGACGCUGAGACGCGAAAAGCGUGGGGAGCGAACAGG